rnacentral:rRNA from 1 species
CCUACGGGCGGCAGCAGUAGGGAAUCUUCCACAAUGGGCGAAAGCCUGAUGGAGCAACGCCGCGUGGGUGAAGAAGGUCUUCGGAGCGUAAAACCCUGUUGUUAGAGAAGAAAGUGCGGGAGAGUAACUGUUCACGUUUCGACGGUAUCUAACCAGAAAGCCACGGCUCACUACGUGCCAGCAGCCGCGGUAAUACGUAGGUGGCAAGCGUUGUCCGGAUUUAUUGGGCGUAAAGGGAACGCAGGCGGUCUUUUAAGUCUGAUGUGAAAGCCUUCGGCUUAACCGGAGUAGUGCAUUGGAGACUGGGAGUCUUGAGUGCAGAAGAGGUGAGCGGAAUUCGAGGUGUAGCGGUGAAAUGCGUAGAUAUAUGGAAGAACACCGGUGGCGAAGGCGGCUUUCUGGUCUGUAACUGACGCUGAGGUUCGAAAGCGUGGGUAGCAAACAGGAUUAGAUACCCGGGUAGUC